UACGUAGGGUGCGAGCGUUAAUCGGAUUUACUGGGCGUAAAGCGUGCGCAGGCGGCCCGUUAAGACAGGUGUGAAAUCCCUGGGCUCAACCUAGGAAUUGCGCUUGUGACUGGCGGGCUCGAGUACGGUAGAGGGGGGUAGAAUUCCAGGUGUAGCGGUGAAAUGCGUAGAGAUCUGGAGGAAUACCGGUGGCGAAGGCAGCCCCCUGGGCCUGUACUGACGCUCAUGCACGAAAGCGUGGGGAGCAAACAGG
rnacentral:rRNA from 1 species